rnacentral:rRNA from 1 species
AUUGAACGCUGGCGGCAGGCCUAACACAUGCAAGUCGAGCGGAAACGAGUUAUCUGAACCUUCGGGGAACGAUAACGGCGUCGAGCGGCGGACGGGUGAGUAAUGCCUAGGAAAUUGCCCUGAUGUGGGGGAUAACCAUUGGAAACGAUGGCUAAUACCGCAUGAUGCCUACGGGCCAAAGAGGGGGACCUUCGGGCCUCUCGCGUCAGGAUAUGCCUAGGUGGGAUUAGCUAGUUGGUGAGGUAAGGGCUCACCAAGGCGACGAUCCCUAGCUGGUCUGAGAGGAUGAUCAGCCACACUGGAACUGAGACACGGUCCAGACUCCUACGGGAGGCAGCAGUGGGGAAUAUUGCACAAUGGGCGCAAGCCUGAUGCAGCCAUGCCGCGUGUAUGAAGAAGGCCUUCGGGUUGUAAAGUACUUUCAGUCGUGAGGAAGGUGGUGUAGUUAAUAGCUGCAUUAUUUGACGUUAGCGACAGAAGAAGCACCGGCUAACUCCGUGCCAGCAGCCGCGGUAAUACGGAGGGUGCGAGCGUUAAUCGGAAUUACUGGGCGUAAAGCGCAUGCAGGUGGUUUGUUUAAGUCAGAUGUGAAAGCCCGGGGCUCAACCUCGGAAUUGCAUUUGAAACUGGCAGACUAGAGUACUGUAGAGGGGGGUAGAAUUUCAGGUGUAGCGGUGAAAUGCGUAGAGAUCUGAAGGAAUACCGGUGGCGAAGGCGGCCCCCUGGACAGAUACUGACACUCAGAUGCGAAAGCGUGGGGAGCAAACAGGAUUAGAUACCCUGGUAGUCCACGCCGUAAACGAUGUCUACUUGGAGGUUGUGGCCUUGAGCCGUGGCUUUCGGAGCUAACGCGUUAAGUAGACCGCCUGGGGAGUACGGUCGCAAGAUUAAAACUCAAAUGAAUUGACGGGGGCCCGCACAAGCGGUGGAGCAUGUGGUUUAAUUCGAUGCAACGCGAAGAACCUUACCUACUCUUGACAUCCAGAGAACUUUCCAGAGAUGGAUUGGUGCCUUCGGGAACUCUGAGACAGGUGCUGCAUGGCUGUCGUCAGCUCGUGUUGUGAAAUGUUGGGUUAAGUCCCGCAACGAGCGCAACCCUUAUCCUUGUUUGCCAGCGAGUAAUGUCGGGAACUCCAGGGAGACUACCGGUGAUAAACCGGAGGAAGGUGGGGACGACGUCAAGUCAUCAUGGCCCUUACGAGUAGGGCUACACACGUGCUACAAUGGCGCAUACAGAGGGCGGCCAACUUGCGAAAGUGAGCGAAUCCCAAAAAGUGCGUCGUAGUCCGGAUUGGAGUCUGCAACUCGACUCCAUGAAGUCGGAAUCGCUAGUAAUCGUGGAUCAGAAUGCCACGGUGAAUACGUUCCCGGGCCU